rnacentral:rRNA from 1 species
AUUGAACGCUGGCGGCAUGCUUUACACAUGCAAGUCGAACGGUAACAGGCCUUCGGGUGCUGACGAGUGGCGCACGGGUGAGUAAUGCAUCGGAACGUGCCCAGAGGUGGGGGAUAACGCAGCGAAAGCUGUGCUAAUACCGCAUGUGAUCUGAGGAUGAAAGCGGGGGACCAGGCAGCAAUGUUUGGCCUCGCGCCUUUGGAGCGGCCGAUGUCAGAUUAGGUAGUUGGUGGGGUAAAGGCCUACCAAGCCGACGAUCUGUAGCUGGUCUGAGAGGACGACCGGCCACACUGGGACUGGGACACGGCCCAGACUCCUACGGGAGGCAGCAGUGGGGAAUUUUGGACAAAGGGCGCAAGCCUGAUCCAGCAAUGCCGCGUGCGGGAAGAAGGCCUUCGGGUUGUAAACCGCUUUUGUACGGAACGAAAAGGCUCUGGCUAAUACCUGGGGCUGAUGACGGUACCGUAAGAAUAAGCACCGGCUAACUACGUG